GAUGAACGCUGGCGGCGUGCCUAAUACAUGCAAGUCGAGCGAACGAACUAGAAGCUUGCUUCUCUGAUGUUAGCGGCGGACGGGUGAGUAACACGUGGAUAACCUACCUAUAAGACUGGGAUAACUUCGGGAAACCGUAGCUAAUACCGGAUAAUAUUUUGAACCGCAUGGUUCAAAAGUGAAAGACGGUCUUGCUGUCACUUAUAGAUGGAUCCGCGCUGCAUUAGCUAGUUGGUAAGGUAACGGCUUACCAAGGCAACGAUGCAUAGCCGACCUGAGAGGGUGAUCGGCCACACUGGAACUGAGACACGGUCCAGACUCCUACGGGAGGCAGCAGUAGGGAAUCUUCCGCAAUGGGCGAAAGCCUGACGGAGCAACGCCGCGUGAGUGAUGAAGGUCUUCGGAUCGUAAAACUCUGUUAUUAGGGAAGAACAUAUGUGUAAGUAACUGUGCACAUCUUGACGGUACCUAAUCAGAAAGCCACGGCUAACUACGUG
rnacentral:rRNA from 1 species